AGUUGCUUUCAUUUGACCGAGAACCAGAAUGUCCUACCACAAUAGAACGGACCCGAAUUCAAUGUAUGGACAUCAUCUUACCAAUUACAAAACCUUGGAGAACGUACCGAGGACCGCAUGGAUCAAUCUGAACGACAGCUUCGUGACCUUAAAUUAGAUUCCCGCCUCAACUUUGUCUCGAUGGAAAUUGUUGGCAUUUCAAUACUUGCCUUGUUAUCGCUCUUAAUAGCCGUGUAUUCCUGUGUCAGAGAUGAACAAAAACGUCUUCGACAAAAAGUGAGCAGUAAAGUUGUCUCGCCAUGAAUAAUUAAACUGUUCAGGCUAUGCAAGUUGUUAUUUUUAUAUUCGAUUUGUGUAAACCUUUAUCCAUAAAUAAAUAUAUAAAUAUG